AAUGAAUUGCCUGAUAAAAAGGAUUACCUUGAUAGGGUAAAUCAUGCAGUUUUCUGCAUUCAUUGCCA
rnacentral:tRNA from 1 species